UUGAUAGCCCUGGCGAGCAGCAUUUUCAAUUUAUCCGCACAACAGGUAUGGUCUGGGCAGCAGCAGUGCUAACCUCCUGCCCAUGCUUCCCAUCCAAGCCUCCUCGGGCCUGCAGGGGCCACCUCGGAGCGGCCGGGAGCUAUUUCAGCGCCGUCCGUCUGUGUCCACC
rnacentral:sRNA from 1 species